UACGUAGGUGGCAAGCGUUAUCCGGAAUUAUUGGGCGUAAAGAGGGAGCAGGCGGUUUAUUAAGUCUGGUGUAAAAGGCAGUGGCUCAACCAUUGUAUGCAUUGGAAACUGGUAGACUUGAGUGCAGGAGAGGAGAGUGGAAUUCCAUGUGUAGCGGUGAAAUGCGUAGAUAUAUGGAGGAACACCGGUGGCGAAAGCGGCUCUCUGGCCUGUAACUGACACUGAGGCUCGAAAGCGUGGGGAGCAAACAGG
rnacentral:rRNA from 1 species